ACGAUGUAACACACGCUCAUACAAGCCCCAUAUUUGACCUCGUAUACCCUAUUCACAAUACUGUGUGGAGUUGGCCUGCACUGGCCUGGUUAGGUUACAUUUAGUUGCUGGAAUUAUACUGGAAAAGGACAAUGAUCCAAGGCAGUACAGUUUGUAUUGAGAAACCACGAGAGAGUGAAAAGAGUACUACUGAUGUUCUGUUAAUAGAGGUUCAGUAUGAUGUUCUUUAAUAGAGGUUCAGUAUGAUGUUCUUUAAUAGAGGUUCAGUAUGAUGUUCUUUAAUAGAGGUUCAGGAUGAUGUUCUUUAAUAGAGGUUCAGUAUGAUGUUCUUUAAUAGAGGUUCAGUAUGAUGUUCUUUAAUAGAGGUUCAGUAUGAUGUUCUGUUAAUAGAGGUUUGGUGUGAUGUUCUAUUAAUAGAGGUUCGGUAUGUUCUGUUAAUAGAGGUUCAGUAUGAUGUUCUGUUAAUAGAGGUUCAGUAUGAUGUUCUGUUAAUAGAGGUUCAGUAUGAUGUUCUGUUAAUAGAGGUUCAGUAUGAUGUUCUGUUAAUAGAGGUUCAGUAUGAUGUUCUGUUAAUAGAGGUUCAGUAUGAUGUUCUGUUAAUAGAGGUUCAGUAUGAUGUUCUGUUAAUAGAGGUUCGGUAUGUUCUGUUAAUAGAGGUUCAGUAUGAUGUUCUGUUAAUAGAGGUUCAGUAUGAUGUUCUGUUAAUAGAGGUUCAGUAUGAUGUUCUGUUAAUAGAGGUUCAGUAUGAUGUUCUGUUAAUAGAGGUUCGGUAUGUUCUGUUAAUAGAGGUUCAGUAUGAUGUUCUGUUAAUAGAGGUUCAGUAUGGGUCAAGGGAGAAGGAGAGGGAGAAUCGUCAUAUGUGUGUCAAAUACAUGACUGAUCAACUGAUAAUUUUAGAAUUAAAUACAUCAUUUUUUUCUGUA